rnacentral:sRNA from 1 species
GCGGAGGAAAAGAAACCAACAGGGAUUGCCCUAGUAACGGCGAGUGAAGCGGCAACAGCUCAAAUUUGAAAUCUGGCUCUUUCAGGGUCCGAGUUGUAAUUUGCAGAGGGCGCUUUGGCGUUGGCAGCGGUCCAAGUUCUUUGGAACAGGACGUCACAGAGGGUGAGAAUCCCGUACGUGGUCGCUAGCCUUCGCCGUGUAAAGCCCCUUCGACGAGUCGAGUUGUUUGGGAAUGCAGCUCUAAAUGGGAGGUAAAUUUCUUCUAAAGCUAAAUACUGGCCAGAGACCGAUAGCGCACAAGUAGAGUGAUCGAAAGAUGAAAAGCACUUUGGAAAGAGAGUCAAAUAGCACGUGAAAUUGUUGAAAGGGAAGCGCUUGCAGCCAGACUUGCCUGUAGUUGCUUAUCCGGACUUUUGUCCGGUGCACUCUUCUGCGGGCAGGCCAGCAUCAGUUUGGGCGGUUGGAUAAAGGUCUCUGUCAUGUACCUCCUUUCGGGGAGGCCUUAUAGGGGAGACGACAUGCAACCAGCCUGGACUGAGGUCCGCGCAUCUGCUAGGAUGCUGGCGUAAUGGCUGUAAGCGGCCCGUCUUGAAACACGGACCAAGGAGUCUAACAUCUAUGCGAGUGUUUGGGUGUCAAGCCCAGACGCGUAAUGAAAGUGAACGGAGGUGGGAACCCUUUGGGUGCACCAUCGACCGAUCCUGAUGUCUUCGGAUGGAUUUGAGUAAGAGCAUGGCUGUUGGGACCCGAAAGAUGGUGAACUAUGCUUGAAUAGGGUGAAGCCAGAGGAAACUCUGGUGGAGGCUCGCAGCGGUUCUGACGUGCAAAUCGAUCGUCAAAUUUGGGCAUAGGGGCGAAAGACUAAUCGAACUAUCUAGUAGCUGGUUCU